GAGGAAUAUUGGUCAAUGGGCGAGAGCCUGAACCAGCCAAGUAGCGUGCAGGAUGACGGCCCUCCGGGUUGUAAACUGCUUUUAGUUGGGAAUAAAAAAAGGGACUUGUCUCUUCUUGUAUGUACCUUCAGAAAAAGGACCGGCUAAUUCCGUGCCAGCAGCCGCGGUAAUACGGAAGGUCCAGGCGUUAUCCGGAUUUAUUGGGUUUAAAGGGAGCGUAGGCGGAUUGUUAAGUCAGCGGUUAAAGGGUGUGGCUCAACCAUGCAUUGCCGUUGAAACUGGCGAUCUUGAGUGCAGACAGGGAUGCCGGAAUUCGUGGUGUAGCGGUGAAAUGCUUAGAUAUCACGAAGAACUCCGAUCGCGAAGGCAGGUGUCCGGGCUGCAACUGACGCUGAGGCUCGAAAGUGUGGGUAUCAAACAGGAUUAGAUACCCUGGUAGUCCACACAGUAAACGAUGUAUACUCGCGGUUUGCGAUAGACAGUAAGCCGCCAAGCGAAAGCAUUAAGUAUACCACCUGGGGAGUACGCCGGCAACGGUG
rnacentral:rRNA from 1 species